rnacentral:rRNA from 1 species
CAGGCGGUUCUCCUCCUCGUCGGGGCUGGGAGACCUUGGACGACGAUCCUCUGGGAGAAAUCGCACGCCGCUCCGACAUCCUCACCGCAACAAGACUCGGUGCUUCCUGCACCAACUUUUUCAAGACGCUCCUUAAACAGGUUUGGGAAAAGGCCAUGCUUGUUGGUCUUUCAUGCGUCCUCGAGGAGAAGGUUCUUCUAUGGGACAAUCCUUCGAACAGUCCACCGCUCCCUGGCCAUGGUUGCACGUUGACUCCGAUAGAGUUGCCGACGUUGAGAGGUAGUCGGAUUUUGUCCGAUGAGCAGGUCAGUAAUGGAGUUUGAUCAUGUAGUACUUAGUUAUUCCAUUUCCAUCCCGUAAUUUCUCCACUGCCCACCGUCUUUUAUAUAUGAUCAAUUGAAAGUAUAGCAAGGUUUUUACGCCCCAAACUACAGAUGUCAUGUUCUCCACAGGGACUAGGCAACGACGACUAUGCUCGGCUAAAGCUAGGUAGAAGAAUUUUAAGAGAUAAAUGCAGAAAAUAAGAAUCUAAACUAACAAUGAUUGUACCCGAAGAUAAUCCACAAAAAAAUACAAACAACAAAGGGAGAUUAAGAUUGCAAUCACCGUCUUUUUGGUGUUUUCAUAUUACUUGCGAAACUAAAAUGCUAACACAAGGAAUCAACACUAAAAAAAGGGUAAACAAGAUAUGAUACUGGGACAGGAAUAUAUCACAACACAAACAUAUAUAUUUUCACAUGAACGUAAUUAACACAGGGACUACAGAACACACAUAAGCACACAUAAGCACACAUACGCGAACAGGGCACUACACCAUGAUUCAGGUUACAUAAGUAAACAAAUUAUACAAGCCACUUGACUAGUAUCACAGAUCAAGAGUAGUAUUGAACAACUAAAAAAUAGAUAGUAUAAGUACCUAGCACAUGGAGCAAGUACUCUUAGAAUCUGAAUGUUUCAGACUACACGUCUCAGACUACACAAAAUUCAGAGAAGAGAAGGAGAAAGAGAGAUGGCAGCAGGAGGUUAGAGAAAGAAGAAGCAGCAACUGGGGCAUGGGGAAAGGAGCAGCAACAGUACGGGAUUCAGGGAAGAGCAACAGAGAGGGAGAGAGCAGCAGCAAGGAUGAGGGAAGGAGGAGCAGCACCAGGGGUGCAAGACGAGCAGCAACAGCAGGAACGUGAGAAGGAGCAGUACCAGGGGCGUGAGAGAGGAAGCAGCAGCAUGGUGAGGAGAAGGAGAAGAGCAACAACGAGGUAAGGGAAGAGCAGCGAGCGGUAGGGAGGCGCUGGAUGUGGUGGUGCUAUGGCGACGGCGCGGUGGUGUUGGAGGCGCGAGGUGGUGGAUGGCGCUGGUGUUGGAUGGCGUGAGUGAUGGAUGGCGCGAGGUAGUGAUGCGGUGAGAGGUGCUGGUGGCGCGCCGCCACGCCGGCCUCGCCGCGGUGGCGGCCGGAGAUGGAGAAGGGGUCGGGUGAGGGAGAUGGAGAUGCCAGGCCUUAUUGGGA